rnacentral:rRNA from 1 species
GACGAACGCUGGCGGCGUGCUUAACACAUGCAAGUCGAACGAUGAAACCUAGCUUGCUAGGUCGAUUAGUGGCGAACGGGUGAGUAACACGUGACUAACCUGCCCCUUUCUCUGGGAUAACGCUCCGAAAGGAGUGCUAAUACCGGAUACUCACAUCGAGGCACAUGCCUUGGUGUGGAAAGUUUUUCGGAAAGGGAUGGAGUCGCGGCCUAUCAGCUUGUUGGUGAGGUAACGGCUCACCAAGGCGACGACGGGUAGCCGGCCUGAGAGGGCGACCGGCCACACUGGGACUGAGACACGGCCCAGACUCCUACGGGAGGCAGCAGUGGGGAAUAUUGCACAAUGGGCGCAAGCCUGAUGCAGCGACGCCGCGUGAGGGAUGAAGGUCUUCGGAUUGUAAGCCUCUUUCAGUAGGGACGAAGCGAAAGUGACGGUACCUAAAGAAGAAGCACCGGCUAACUACGUGCCAGCCGCCGCCGUAA